rnacentral:lncRNA from 1 species
UCACUUGAUAUUGAAGAGUAUUCCGAUACUGAGGUACAGAAACACCAAGUACUAAGUCUGGAAGCAUGGCAAGACAAGCUUAUUAAAGCAUUUGGAUACUUUUCAUAAAGGUGAGAGUGGACUGAGGAUGUUUUUUCCUCUAUAUGGAAAAGUAUUAAUAGUUGAGAUGAAAUGGUUUGCAGACCAGGGACACAGUGCAGUUGGUGUGAAAAUCAGUGAACUUGAGAUACAAGAAUUUUUUACACAGCAAAUCUUUCUUACUCAGAAGAACCAAUCACUAAAAUUCCUGAAACCAAAUAUAUAAGAGUUCUUCAGGGAACAUUUCGUUGUACUGUUGCAGCAUUUUUUAUCUUCCCAGAACAAAUAUUGACAAAUUUGACAGGAUUUGGAAUAGAGGAGCAUUAGUUACCAUUAAUCCAGGUGGAUUGUGAAUGCUCUGCAAGUAUAAUGUUGUUCCUCCUGAGAAAACAGUUUCAGUACCUCAUGUGUGUUCUUUCUUAUGAUUCAAGUAAAAACAUGCAGCCCACCAUUUUUAUGUUCCACAUGCUUAAAUUGAAAGGUUAUUUGGUACAAUAUGCAGUAUUUAUUGUCUUGGAAAUGCUGAUGCUUUUGAAGAACAACAUAAAAGUUGGGGAAUUGACUACAUUUUUGGAAAGAUAGAUCUACUUACAGAAAAGU